rnacentral:miRNA from 1 species
GUAAUUCGAAGGGUUCCUCCU